CUACGGAGGGUGCAAGCGUUACUCGGAAUCACUGGGCGUAAAGGAUGCGUAGGCGGAUAAUCAAGUCAAAAGUGAAAUCCCACGGCUUAACCGUGGAACUGCUUUCGAAACUGGUUAUCUAGAAUAUGGAAGAGGCAGAUGGAAUUAGUGGUGUAGGGGUAAAAUCCGUAGAGAUCACUAGGAAUACCGAUUGCGAAGGCGAUCUGCUGGGACAUUAUUGACGCUGAGGCAUGAAAGCGUGGGGAGCAAACAGGAUUAGAAACCCCAGUAGUCC
rnacentral:rRNA from 1 species